rnacentral:tRNA from 1 species
GGCUCGGUGGUCUAGGGGUAUGAUUCUCGUUUUGGGUGUGAGCGGUCCUGGGUUCGACUCCCAGGCGAGCCC